GUGAUUAUAAAUCAUUAUAUAAAAUAAAGGUAAAUUAUUUCCAAAUAAGAAAAAAGGUCAUUCUUCUUGGCACGGACUAAAAAGGAAAUAGGUUCACAUAAAUUAUAACGGAUGGAGUACUAUAUAUCAGAGAGGUUAAACUCCAAAACUAACACAAAAAAUAAAAAUAAAAAUAAAAAUAAAAAACAAAGUAUAACUAUACAUAGCGGGUCUCACACAGACACCAUAAACAGAAUGAACCCCCCUAUACACUUGAUCACUUGAUCCUCUUUCAGCUCCAGUAAACACAAUGUAUUUCAUUUGACGAAUUAGAAGAGUUCCGCUUCGUAUUAUGAAUGAUGAGCAUUUAGCACUGCCCGGUAUACCAUGUCAAUGAAUUGGUCAUCCUGUCAUGGAAAUAAAGAUCAUAUCAGAUGCGCGAAAUGACCAGAAGAGAGCAUAUCAAAUAAAGACUUGUAACAGGAAAGAAUAAGCAUAAGAAAAAUUGGAAUAGAAAAAGAAAAAAAAAGAUACAAACAUUACCAGCAACUCUAUAGGGAAUAGAAUAACACAUGAGCAUAAAACGCUACUAAAAUAGCCCCUCAUCUACUAAAGUCGCUCACUAGUUCUUAAUAACUGAAUUCAGAAUCUUUUCAUUGUUCCUGCAUCUCAAAUUCUUAGAACUCUAGAUAUUGUUCAGCAUGCUUGUAUUUUACAGUUUUUCUCUGUUCCCCUGCAAAACUCUGUGGUUUUGGUAGAGCACAAGGAGCUAAUUAGACAUUCUUCUUAAAAGCCAACAAAUUUAUGGUUUCCUCUAUGGUUUUAAGGAGUAUCAAUGGACUGCCAUUAUCAAACUGUACAGCAGUUAGAAAGCUUUACUUUCCAUUAUAUUUUGCUACUAUUUUGUUUUUGUUUUUUUGUUUUUUUUUUUUUUUCUGUCUUUCCUUUUCUUUUUCUAAGCCGAGGGUCGAUUGGAAACAGCCUCUCCAUCCUUUCGGAUGGGGGUAAGGCAUGUGUACAUAUUACUCUCCCCAGACCCCACCAUGUGGAACUAUACUGGGUAGUUGUUGUCGUUAUUUGGGUCCACAAGCAAGCACAUAGAUGAUCCUUCUCUUCUUCCCUUUCUUUUACCCCCAGGGUGUAGUGCAAAAAAAUGUACUUUUUAAUCUGCUUUUACGAAAUAUGCUUUUUAUCCAGUUCUUUGAUAAGAAAGAGCAUUUCUACCCCAUCGGGGUAGAGGUAAGGUCUACGUACACUCUAUCCUCUCCAAACCCCACUUAUUGGAUUUAUACUGGGUCAUUGUUGUUGUUGUUGCUUUUUAUCCAGUUCUGUUCAUUCCUGUAUUAUUGACACUACUUCCUAUCUUAAAUGUUGACCAAUCUUUCCUCCCUCCCUCCCUAUUGGAGUGGUAAAGGACCAAAGACAAUGAUAUCAUGCUGAUACGUAGCGCCAUGUCAGUAAUAUUUUUAUUUCACCAGCCACAAAGUGAAUCAUUUCAGACCUAGUACAUAAAAACUGCUAGUUGACCAAUGAUUUUAUGCAGAAAGGAACUUAAUUUUCACACAUUGAUGUUCAUUUUCACGUAUCAAGAAUUUUGGAUUAAAUUUUAACAGGCUUUUCAAAGCAUCUGAAUUGAGAGUUAAUCCGCUGUAAGCUAGUAUUAACCUAUUACUGAAAUGCAACAUGCUUUAACAGUACCAAUAAAAUAGGACCAUAUAUAAUAGGAAAAAUCUGAUGAGGAGAAAUUCACAAAUAUAUAUUCAUAUAAUAGGGAAAAUCUUGAUAGUGGAAUAAGGAGCUUCAUAAAGAAACACAAGGUCAUCAAUCUUUUGAUUUCCUUAAAGCAAAAUGCACAAACUGUUGUACAAAAUACCAACUAUCUUAUGUUUGUACUACCCGGUACUCACCAAACACGUCUGAAGGACUACGCAGCCAUGCAAAUUAUUCCAGGCAACUUCCCCUCCAAUUAUCCUAUGUCUUCUUGAUGUGAUUAUUCCUAAUCUGCUCCAAUUUUGUAUGAUGCACAUCCAUCUUAACAUCUACAUUUAUACGACACUUAUCCUGUGAAGAAGCCCGAUAUUCAUCCAUACAUAACAUUGCUGUACUCAUAGACAUUCUACACACA
rnacentral:lncRNA from 1 species